CCUUAAAAUGAGGUUCUAAAUAUUUUGCUUGUUCGUUUCCCCCAUGUUCAAGCCAAUAAAGCGUGGCCCAACUGCGAUCACCACCGAUUACCAUAGAACCCAGAUGUUGGGCCUGAGGCAGUGUCCAGAAGACAGUAAAAACUUGUAAGCAAGUCAUCUUGUCAGAGCUUACAGUUCCUUGGGAGGAGCAGAUGGAAGAGGCUAAUGAAGGAAAGAUGUUGAGGAACGAGGAAAUGCUGGAGCAAAACUGAUCAAAAGGCUGGAGGACAAGGUGUGUGCACACUGUAGCAGGCUACAGGGGCUUUGCAGGAUUUUGUUCAAGGCCUGUAGUAUGCUGCGUAUUGCAGGCAGACAGAGCACGAAGACUAUGAAAUCUGUUAU